AAAAUCUGCGGGCGAAGAGCAAACAGGUCAGCCUCACACCAGAUCACGGUUCCCCAGAGCCCUUCAGUUCCGAGUCGGAGAGGCCAGGGCACCUUCCUGCGUCAGGCCCAGCUCCUCCUCACGGCCUCACAGAUCACAGGGUAUAAAAAGCAAGCAGAGAGCAGAUAGAGAUGAGUGAAGAGAGCUGCCAAGCCACAUGAAGAUCACCCAGGAGCAGAACCUCAGAGGCAACGACCUUCCUCCAGAGCCGACAGACAGAAAAAGUCUUCUCCUGGUGCUGCCGGUCUGAAUUUGGACUUCUAUUCUAGCCUCCAACUGUGAGAAAAUAAGUUUCCAUUUGUUAAAGCCAUCCACUUGUGGUAUUUCUGUUACAGCAGCUCUAAAGAGCUGAGACAGUCCCAAACCUCAGGAAGACAAGAUGACAGGGUUCCUUGUCCUGCCCUCCCACCCUCUCUGUGAUUCUUCCUCUUCAAGAGUGCUCCUGAAGGUAUGCAAUUUCAGGUCUCUGAAACCGUUAGGGGAGAAGACCCAAAAAUUAGCACGAUUUUACUACAUUGUUUAGGAAUUCCUCAACUAGGUUUUUAAACUAUAAAGAAAAGCAAACUGAAUCAACGCUAUGACAGCUAGGAGUGUGCUGACUCCGGGGUGUGGAACGGGGCUGGGAAUGGGCAGGGGCACAGGCGGCUGGCAUGUUCUAUUUCUUGGCCUGGAUGGGGGUCACACAGGUUUCCAUUUAACAAUCUGUUAAACACUACUUUUACGUUUUAUGUAUUUUUUGUUAUUACAUCUUACAUUUUAAUGAAUUUUUAAACGCCAGGACCUUUAAUCUCAGGAUGUCCUUAGACACCACCUCAUGCCUGAUGCCUCCCCUCCCUACGCCACCAAUAAGUGAGCUCACCAUUUUUUAAGGGCCCAGUAACUCCUCACCAAGAAAUGCAAAAGGAAUAGGAUCACAAGAUGUACACUUUGAAAACAAGGAGCAAAUCUCAACAAACACAGUUUCCACUGAACAGUAUUACAACGUAACCUAAAUAUCCAGAAACACCAGGCUGGUUAAAUAAAUUAUGGCCCGGCCAUAUAUUAGGAAGGAGCCCUGCUGGCGCAGUGGUUAUGCACUUUGCUGCCAACCAAAAGGUUGGCAGUUCGAACCCACCAGUGGCUCUGUGGGAGAAGGACCCGGCGAUCUGCUUCCACAAAGAUCACAGCCUUGGAAACCCUAUGGGACGGUUCUACUCUGUCCUACAGGGUCGCCAUAGUCAAAAUCCACUCGACAGCACGCAACAACCUAUAUCAGAGCAGGAGUCCCUGGGUGGCGCAAAUGGUUAAGUGCUCAACUGCAAGCCGAGAGGCUGGUGGUUCAAACUCCCCCUGAGGCACCUCGGUCGACAGGCCUGGCCAUCUGCUUCCUAAAGGUCACAGCCUUGAAAACCCCAUGGAGCAGCUCUACUCUGCAAACACGGGGUCACCAUGAGUCAGAAUCGACUUGAGUGCAACCAACAACAAUAAGAUAUACCAAAGUAAUUUUAUAAAAAAACGGCAAGGGGGCGGUGUCUGACCUCCUUCCAACUUCACGACGGGGAUGGAGAACUAAGAUCAACAGUCCAAAGUUGGCUCCUGUGAGGUGGAGGUCAUCUUUACCAACUCUGACACCAGCCUUCUCUGCCACAGCGCACUCCACGGGGUUCUAGAACUCACUGCAAUGGCCGCAGAGAGCUCACAGACCAUAUUCACAAUUACGGGGCUUACAAGGGAAGUAACAGCUCGAUUCAGACUCAAGAACACCCAGGACACAGUUCUUCCAUCGGGACAGCCUCUCCCUGGCCUUCCGUCUCUGCCCAAAGGCACUCAGCUUUCUCUCUCUGUGGGCCCAGAAGCCCCCUGCACCAUCUCCUGCUGCCAGAUCCCUCCGCCCACCGCUCCUCGCCCUCCUCAGGGUUGCAGCUUGCUGUCUCCUGCUUCCAGGAGCUUCUCAGCACAGGGACCCUGGGUCCAGAGGACGUGCUCUCUGCUCCCGGCUGUCCUUCCUUGGUGGGGGUAGGACCCUCCUCUCUGCUCCGGAAUUGGCUGUUUUUUAAGGCUAAAGUGACCAAUUCCCCUGGUAGGCCACAACUGCCCUACCACACAACACAACCACCUGGGUGAGAGUUACAAUACAAUGGCUAGAAAGGCCACACAAAAAGGUAAUGAAUCCCACUGCAAGGUUCUUUUUACAUACUGAUAUAAAUCAUCUCCAAGGUAUAUGGUUGAGUUAAAAAAGUAAGAUGCAGAUACCAUUUGUGUGUAAAAUGAAAAAAAAAAGAAUAUAUAUUUAUAUAUAUAUUUAUAUAUUUGUUUAUGAAAAAAAUAGCGAAGGCCAGCGUAGCAGGGGUAGGGGUCAGGGGACCAUGGUUUCAGGGGACAUCUAAGUCAACUGGCAUAAUAAAAUCUAUUACGAAAACAUUCUGCAUUCCACUUUGGAGAGCAGCGUCUGGGGUCUUAAACGCUAGCAAGCAGCCAUCUAAGAUGCAUCAAUUGGUCUCAACCCACCUGGACCAAAGGAGAAUGAAGAACACCAAGGACACAAGGUGAUUAUGAGCCCCAGAGACAGAAAGGGCCACAUGAACCACAGACUACAUCAGCCUGACACCAGAAGAACUAGAUAGUGCUCGGCUACAACCGAUGACUCCCCUGACAGGGAACACAACAGAGAACCCCUGAGGGAGCAGGAGAGCAGUGGGAUGCAGACCCCAGAUUCUCGUAAAAAGGCCAGACUUAACAGUCUGACUGAGACUAGAAGGACCCCAGUGGUCACUGCCCCCAGACCUUCUGUUAGCCCAGGACAGGAACCAUUCCUGAAGCCAACUCUUCAGGCAGGGAUUGGACUGGACAAUGGGAUAGAAAAAGAUGCUGGUGAAAAAUAAGCUUCUCAGAUAAAGUAGACACUUGAGACUCUGUUGGCAUCUCCUAUCCGGAGGGGAGACGAAAGGGCAAAGGGGGUCAGAAGUUGGCGAAAUGGACACGAAAAGAGAGAGUGGAGGGAAGGAGCAGGCUGUCUCAUUAGGGGGACAGCAAUUAGGAGUACAUAAGCAAGGUGUAUAUAAAUUUUUGUAUAAGAGUGACUUGAUUUGUAAACUUUCGCUUAAAGUACAAUAAAAUUUUUUUUUUUUUAAAAAAGCAAGUUACCAGCCUCAAAAGAAAAAAAAAAAAAGCCCUGAAAAGAAACAACCAGUAACACUAGCUGCUUCAGGGGUGGGGAGGAGACAGGAUCAGACAGACACUGCCCGUUGUAAACCCUGGUUUCCUUUGAAUUUCACGCCAUGUGCAUGUAUUUUUUUAAAUACAUAAAAUUUAAAUUUAAAAGCACAAUAUACUGUAACACAAUUUAAAUAGCCAACAAAACUGCUUUUAUUAAAUAAUUUAGGAUGAAUCUUUAUCAUUCUAUGCAGCCAUUAAAAAUGCUUUUAAAAGAAGUAUUACAUGGAAAAUGCUCACAGUAUAUCAAAGAAAAAAAUUAGAAAAUAAUAUAUAAAUGUGAUUUCAAUUUCUUUAGAGCAGUAACUGGAAGACAAGACAGCCAACUGUUCACAAGUGAAAUAAGGAGUCAUUGUUUUCUUCAUUAAAUCCAAAGAGGCAGAAAUCACAAACACAUACCCAAUUCUCAGAAUAAACUAAAAGAUGUCCACCCACUCGGAAAUAACGUAUUAUAAAUACAAUACGUAUACUUAUAUAUAAUACACAUAAUGUGAUAAGUAAUAUUAUAAUCUAAAGAAAUACAUAGCAUGUUUCCUAAAUUAUGAACAGGUCACGAAAAAAACUGUCAAACAUGGUAAAAUAUUUUAAACUAAUAUAAAUUUAUGAAAAUAUUUGAGAGAAUACCAAGGAAAAAGACUGCUACCCUACAUGUGAUAAUACUUAAGAAAAAAAAAAGCAAGAGUAAAA